rnacentral:rRNA from 1 species
UACGGAGGAUCCAAGCGUUAUCCGGAAUCAUUGGGUUUAAAGGGUCCGUAGGCGGUUUAGUAAGUCAGUGGUGAAAUCCCAUCGCUCAACGGUGGAACGGCCAUUGAUACUGCUAGACUUGAAUUAUUAGGAAGUAACUAGAAUAUGUAGUGUAGCGGUGAAAUGCUUAGAGAUUACAUGGAAUACCAAUUGCGAAGGCAGGUUACUACUAAUGGAUUGACGCUGAUGGACGAAAGCGUGGGUAGCGAACAGG